rnacentral:rRNA from 1 species
GACGAACGCUGGCGGCGUGCCUAAUACAUGCAAGUUGAGCGCUGAAGGUUGGUACUUGUACCAACUGGGUGAGCAGCGAACGGGUGAGUAACGCGUGGGGCAUCUGCCUUUGAGCGGGGGACAACAUUUGGAAACGAAUGCUAAUACCGCAUAAAAACUUUAAACACAAGUUUUAAGUUUGAAAGAUGCAAUUGCAUCACUCAAAGAUGAUCCCGCGUUGUAUUAGCUAGUUGGUGAGGUAAAGGCUCACCAAGGCGAUGAUACAUAGCCGACCUGAGAGGGUGAUCGGCCACAUUGGGACUGAGACACGGCCCAAACUCCUACGGGAGGCAGCAGUAGGGAAUCUUCGGCAAUGGACGAAAGUCUGACCGAGCAACGCCGCGUGAGUGAAGAAGGUUUUCGGAUCGUAAAACUCUGUUGGUAGAGAAGAACGUUGGUGAGAGUGGAAAGCUCAUCAAGUGACGGUAACUACCCAGAAAGGGACGGCUAACUACGUG